UUGGUUAAGUUAGAAAGGGCGCACGGUGGAUGCCUUGGCACUAGGAGCCGAAGAAGGACGGGACUAACACCGAUAUGCUUUGGGGAGCUGUACGUAAGCGUUGAUCCAGAGAUUUCCGAAUGGGGGAACCCACUAUCUUUAGUCGGAUAGUAUCCUUACGUGAAUACAUAGCGUGAGGAAGGCAGACCCAGGGAACUGAAACAUCUAAGUACCUGGAGGAAGAGAAAGAAAAAUCGAUUUCCUGAGUAGCGGCGAGCGAAACGGAAAGAGCCCAAACCAAGAAGCUUGCUUCUUGGGGUUGUAGGACACUCUAUACGGAGUUACAAAAGAAAGUUAUAAAUGAAGCGGUCUGGAAAGGCCCGCCAAAGACGGUAACAGCCCGGUAGUUGAAAUGGCUUUCCCUCCAGAGUGGAUCCUGAGUACGGCGGAACACGUGAAAUUCCGUCGGAAUCCGGGAGGACCAUCUCCCAAGGCUAAAUACUCCCUAGUGACCGAUAGUGAACCAGUACCGUGAGGGAAAGGUGAAAAGCACCCCGGAAGGGGAGUGAAACAGUUCCUGAAACCGUGUGCCUACAAGUAGUUAGAGCCCGUUAAUGGGUGAUAGCGUGCCUUUUGUAGAAUGAACCGGCGAGUUACGAUUUGUUGCAAGGUUAAGCGGAAAAAGCGGAGCCGUAGCGAAAGCGAGUCUGAAUAGGGCGCAUAAGUAACAGGUCGUAGACCCGAAACCAGGUGAUCUACCCAUGUCCAGGAUGAAGGUAAGGUAAUACUUACUGGAGGUCCGAACCCACGCACGUUGAAAAGUGCGGGGAUGAGGUGUGGGUAGCGGAGAAAUUCCAAUCGAACUUGGAGAUAGCUGGUUCUCUCCGAAAUAGCUUUAGGGCUAGCCUCGAGGUAAAGAGUCAUGGAGGUAGAGCACUGUUUGGACUAGGGGCCCUUCUCGGGUUACCGAAUUCAGAUAAACUCCGAAUGCCAUGUACUUAUACUCGGGAGUCAGACUGCGAGUGAUAAGAUCCGUAGUCGAAAGGGAAACAGCCCAGACCACCAGUUAAGGUCCCCAAAUAUAUGUUAAGUGGAAAAGGAUGUGGGGUUGCUUAGACAACCAGGAUGUUGGCUUAGAAGCAGCCACCAUUGAAAGAGUGCGUAAUAGCUCACUGGUCGAGUGACCCCGCGCCGAAAAUGUACCGGGGCUAAACAUAUUACCGAAACUGUGGAUGAACCUCUUUAGAGGUUCGUGGUAGGAGAGCGUUCUAAGGGCGGUGAAGUCAGACCGGAAGGACUGGUGGAGCGCUUAGAAGUGAGAAUGCCGGUAUGAGUAGCGAAAGAAGGGUGAGAAUCCCUUCCACCGAAUAUCUAAGGUUUCCUGAGGAAGGCUCGUCCGCUCAGGGUUAGUCGGGACCUAAGCCGAGGCCGAUAGGCGUAGGCGAUGGACAACAGGUAGAGAUUCCUGUACCAGUGCUAAUUGUUUAACCGAUGGGGUGACACAGAAGGAUAGGGAAUCGCACGAAUGGAAAUGUGCGUCCAAGCAGUGAGUGUGAGAAGUAGGCAAAUCCGCUUCUCGCGAAGCAUGAGCUGUGAUGGGGAAGGAAAUUAAGUACGGAAGUUCCUGAUUUCACGCUGUCAAGAAAAGCCUCUAGGAAGAGUAGUACUGCCCGUACCGCAAACCGACACAGGUAGAUGAGGAGAGAAUCCUAAGGUGAGCGAGAGAACUCUCGUUAAGGAACUCGGCAAAAUGACCCCGUAACUUCGGGAGAAGGGGUGCUCUAUUAGGGUGCAAGCCCGAGAGAGCCGCAGUGAAUAGGCCCAGGCGACUGUUUAGCAAAAACACAGGUCUCUGCAAAACCGUAAGGUGACGUAUAGGGGCUGACGCCUGCCCGGUGCUGGAAGGUUAAGAGGAGUGCUUAGCUUCGGCGAAGGUACGAAUUGAAGCCCCAGUAAACGGCGGCCGUAACUAUAACGGUCCUAAGGUAGCGAAAUUCCUUGUCGGGUAAGUUCCGACCCGCACGAAAGGCGCAACGAUCUGGGCACUGUCUCAACGAGAGACUCGGUGAAAUUAUAGUACCUGUGAAGAUGCAGGUUACCCGCGACAGGACGGAAAGACCCCGUGGAGCUUUACUGCAACCUGAUAUGGAAUGUUUGUACCGCUUGUACAGGAUAGGUAGGAGCCGAAGAGACGUGUGCGCUAGCAUACGAGGAGGCAAUGGUGGGAUACUACCCUGGCUGUAUGACCAUUCUAACCCGCCACGCUUAGCGCGUGGGGAGACAGUGUCAGGUGGGCAGUUUGACUGGGGCGGUCGCCUCCUAAAGAGUAACGGAGGCGCCCAAAGGUUCCCUCAGAAUGGAUGGAAAUCAUUCGCAGAGUGUAAAGGCACAAGGGAGCUUGACUGCGAGACUGACAAGUCGAGCAGGGACGAAAGUCGGGCUUAGUGAUCCGGUGGUUCCGCAUGGAAGGGCCAUCGCUCAACGGAUAAAAG
rnacentral:rRNA from 1 species